UACGUAGGGACCAAGCGUUGUUCGGAUUUACUGGGCGUAAAGGGCGCGUAGGCGGCGUGACAAGUCACUUGUGAAAUCUCCGGGCUUAACCCGGAGCGGUCAAGUGAUACUGUCGUGCUAGAGUGCGGAAGGGGCUACUGGAAUUCUCGGUGUAGCGGUGAAAUGCGUAGAUAUCGAGAGGAACACCUGCGGCGAAGGCGGGUAGCUGGGCCGACACUGACGCUGAUGCGCGAAAGCCAGGGGAGCGAACGGG
rnacentral:rRNA from 1 species